GAGGGGACACUGGAGAGCCUCUUGGUGCUGGCUAUGCACAGAGAUAGAAGGGAAGCCCGCCCAGUUGUUUUGUGGAUACAGGGACCCAAUGCUCUGUGCUCCUAUGCCCCCCAGUGGGCCAAUAUCCAAAGACCUUGAGUGCAAGGAGCUACUGACAACGACCAAUACUUAUAGACUGCCCGAAGAACAGUGGACCUUGGUGUGGGCCGGGUAACCCACCCACUAAUUCAUGGUCAUCCCUGACUGCCCCCAUCCCUUGCUCAUGAGAAAAUUGCUCUCCAAAUUGGCUUGCGUGGGCUGAAAUGGCUAGAUGAGGCCAUGU
rnacentral:lncRNA from 1 species